rnacentral:rRNA from 1 species
GAUGAACGCUGGCGGCGUGCUUAACACAUGCAAGUCGAACGGGGAUUAUUUUGACAGAGACUUCGGUUGAAGUCGUUAUAAUCCUAGUGGCGGACGGGUGAGUAACGCGUGGGUAACCUGCCUCACACUGGGGGAUAACAGUCAGAAAUGACUGCUAAUACCGCAUAAGCGCACGGGAUUGCAUGAUCCAGUGUGAAAAACUCCGGUGGUGUGAGAUGGACCCGCGUUGGAUUAGCCAGUUGGCAGGGUAACGGCCUACCAAAGCGACGAUCCAUAGCCGGCCUGAGAGGGUGGACGGCCACAUUGGGACUGAGACACGGCCCAGACUCCUACGGGAGGCAGCAGUGGGGAAUAUUGCACAAUGGGGGAAACCCUGAUGCAGCGACGCCGCGUGAAGGAAGAAGUAUCUCGGUAUGUAAACUUCUAUCAGCAGGGAAGAAAAUGACGGUA